GCCCGGUUAGUUUAGUUGGUUAGAACGCCACACCUUUAUGACCGUGGAAACGCGGGUUCAAUUCCUGCACUGGGC
rnacentral:tRNA from 1 species